rnacentral:misc_RNA from 1 species
GAAAUGCGAUAAGUAAUGUGAAUUGCAGAAUUCAGUGAAUCAUCGAAUCUUUGAACGCACAUUGCGCCCGCCAGUAUUCUGGCGGGCAUGCCUGUUCGAGCGUCAUUUCAACCAUCAAGCCCCGCGCUUGUGUUGGGGACCUGCGGCUGCCGCAGGCCCUGAAAACCAGUGGCGGGCUCGCUGUCACACCGGGCGUAGUAGAUUUUAUCUCGCUCAGGGCGUGCUGCGGGUUCCGGCCGUUAAAAAGCCUUUUUUACCCAAGGUUGACCUCGGAUCGGGUAGGAAGACCCGCUGAACUUAAGC